GAGCGAUCGAAAGAUGAADAGCACUUKGGAAAGAURGUCAAACAGUACGUGAAAUUGUUGAAAGGGAAGCGCUUGCCUCAGACUUGCCCGCAGGCGAUCAACCGGUAUUCUUACCGGUGCACUCGCCUGUGGUCAGGCCAGCAUCGGUUUGGGCGGCUGGACAAAGUUCACCGGAACGUARCUCCUCUCGGGGAGUGUUAUAGCCGGUGGUGCAAUGCAGYCCGCCUGGACCGAGGACCGCGCUUCGGCUAGRAUGCUGGCGUAAUGGUUGUAAGCGACCCGUCUUGAAACACGGACCAAGGAGUCUAACWUCUAUGCGAGUGUUUGGGUGUCAAACCCAUGCGCGGAAUGAAAGUGAACGGAGGUGGGAACCCUCAAAGGGCGCACCAUCGACCGAUCCAGAUGUCUUCGGAUGGAUUUGAGUAAGAGCAUAGCUGUUGGGACCCGAAAGAUGGUGAACUAUGCCUGAAUAGGGUGAAGCCAGAGGAAACUCUGGUGGAGGCUCGCAGCGGUUCUGACGUGCAAAUCGAUCGUCAAAUUUGGGUAUAGGGGCGAAAGACUAAUCGAACCAUCCUUUUUUUUCCGCAGCUAGGUGGUUAAGUGAAGCCAUGUGUCCAUGAACACAUGCUUCUUAGUCCUCUUCAAUGGGGGCAACAUCACUACUUGCAUGAACAUUUCUCAGAAAUCAACAUGCCGCAGCUUUUAUAGCUGUACACAGAUCAGACAGUGAUGGCCGGUGUUCUUUUGGUUGA
rnacentral:rRNA from 1 species